rnacentral:rRNA from 2 species
AACGAGGAAUUCCUAGUAAACGCAAGUCAUCAGCUUGCAUUGAUUACGUCCCUGCCCUUUGUACACACCGCCCGUCGCUCCUACCGAUUCCGAGUGAUGAGGUGAACCCUCCGGACUGGCUCGCGCUGGGAAGUUGAGUAAACCUUAUCACUUAGAGGAAGGAGAAGUCGUAACAAGGUAUCUGUAGGUGAACCUGCAGAUGGAUCAUUA